rnacentral:rRNA from 1 species
AGCAGCCGCGGUAAUUCCAGCUCCAAUAGCGUAUAUUAAAGUUGUUGCAGUUAAAAAGCUCGUAGUUGAAUUUCGGGAUCGAAUUGUUGGUCGUGCUUCGGUACGUACUGGCAUUAUUGGUUCCUACCUUCUGAAGAACCGCGAUGUCAUUAAUUUGGUGUCGUGGGGAAUCAGGACUGUUACUUUGAAAAAAUUAGAGUGUUUAAAGCAGGCGCACGCUUGAAUACAUUAGCAUGGAAUAAUGAAAUAGGACGUUUGAUUCUAUUUUGUUGGUUUCUAGGAUCGACGUAAUGAUUAAUAGGGAUAGUUGGGGGCAUUAGUAUUCAAUUGUCAGAGGUGAAAUUCUUGGAUUUAUUGAAGACUAACUACUGCGAAAGCAUUUGCCAAGGAUGUUUUCAUUAAUCAAGCACGAAAGUUAGGGGAUCGAAGACGAUCAGAUACCGUCGUAGUCUUAACCAUAAACUAUGCCGACUAGGGAUCGGAUGAUGUUAAUUUUUUAAUGACUC